UACGAAGGGGGCUAGCGUUGUUCGGAAUCACUGGGCGUAAAGCGCACGUAGGCGGACCUUCAAGUCAGGGGUGAAAUCCCGGGGCUCAACCUCGGAACUGCCUUUGAUACUGUUGGUCUUGAAUCCGGUAGAGGUGGGUGGAAUUCCUAGUGUAGAGGUGAAAUUCGAUAGAUAUUAGGAAGAACACCGGUGGCGAAGGCGGCCCACUGGACCGGUAUUGACGCUGAGGUGACGAAAGCGUGGGGAGCAAACAGG
rnacentral:rRNA from 1 species